rnacentral:lncRNA from 1 species
AAAAUAGCAUAUGUUUCUAGCAAAAUGGAUCACACUACAGUUAAAGCCAAUGGAAUGCAGCUCUUUGUAUCAAUCUUUGAUAUUGAGUCUCUUUUUAUACCUUUCUCAUUGAUUGAGACACUCAAAUAAGGGAAGAAUUGACCUACAAUUUUGGAUAAACAAAUAGAUGAAUGGAUACAUAAAGAGAUGUAAUGCUCUUUGGAUAGAUGUCUUAUUUUUAUUACUUUAAUUUUAAAAAUUGCAAUUCUUAAUCUAUUAUUUUAUAAAUAAAUAGCUAAAUAAACACAUGAAGAAAUAGAUGAUAUAAUUUGAAUGGGUGCACAGACGUACACAAACCACUAUCUUUAUAAUACAAAUAAUACAUAUAUAAUAUUCUCAAAUAAAUUGAAAUCUUAUUUGUGGGAACAAAGAAUCCUACUCAA